rnacentral:rRNA from 1 species
GAAAAGGAAGGAGGCCUCUGGGUCACCUCCCACCCGUGUUUAUUGUACCUUGUUGCUUCGGCAGGCCCGCCUUACGGCCGCCGGGGGGCUUCUGCCCCCGGGCCCGCGCCUGCCGGAGACAAUCUUGAACGCUGUCUGAAGAAUGCAGUCUGAGCGAUUAAGCAAAAUUAGUUAAAACUUUCAACAACGGAUCUCUUGGUUCCGGCAUCGAUGAAGAACGCAGCGAAAUGCGAUAAUUAAUGUGAAUUGCAGAAUUCAGUGAAUCAUCGAGUCUUUGAACGCACAUUGCGCCCCCUGGUAUUCCGGGGGGCAUGCCUGUCCGAGCGUCAUUGCUGCCCUCAAGCACGGCUUGUUUGUUGGGUCUUGUUCCCCCGGGAACAGGCCCGAAAGGCAGUGGCGGCACCGUCCGAUCCUCGAGCGUAUGGGGCUUUGUCACCCGCUCUGUAGGCCCGGCCGGCGCUUGCCGACCCCAAUCAAUCUUUUUCAGGUUGACCUCGGAUCAGGUAGGGAUACCCGCUGAACUUAAGCAUAUCAAUAGCCGGAGGAA